ensembl:lncRNA novel transcript
AGUCUCUGACACACCCAUAAAGGCAUGUUCAUCCAGUAUGCACACUGAGUGUCCUCCACAUUCCACAGAUUGUGAGAAGCACAGACACAUUACAGAGAAUGAGAUGGAUACAAUAUUGCCUUAAACGAACUGGUGGCCAAGCCAAAUUCUAACUGCAGAGAAUGAUCAGGAAGGAGCGAUUUGAGGAAAUAACAUGUGAGCUAGACUUUUAAGGAGGAGAAAGAGCCAGCUGCAGAAAGCCAGCAAGAAUGGUGUUUAAUGCAAAGAAAAUCAUAAACCGACCCCUAGCUGGAAAUGAUCCUAACCUGUGGAAGCUCCUGAAUUGAGUGAGGAACCGGCUGGCAGGAGAGCAUAACCCAGCUCAUCCUGACUGAUGCCACCAUUUCAAGAGAAGAGAAAUGAGACUGAGAAAGAUUAAGAUAUUUUCUUAAGAUUGGACACUGUGUUCCUACCCGUUGUGCUUGCCUUAUAGUCGAAAGAGAAUUUAUUUAAGCACAGAGAUCAAGCAAAAGUGGAGCACAGGACACACUUUCAAGUUGCCUUGGGGACUGCUCUGUAGAACAAAAAAGAAACUCAAGAUUUUAAGGAAUAAAAAGUACAAAUGAAGAGAAGGCAUGAUUACAAAAGUUGUUGAUCAGUAAUUCUCAUUGGUAGACAGAAAUACCAGUGGCUAAUGAUCGGCUAUACAUUGUUGAAUUAUAGGAUGUAUGGUAUUUAAAAUAUAUUUAUUUAAAACUAAAUUUUUUAAAGAUUUUUGAUGGGUUUAGGGGUACAGGUGCAGUUGUGUUACAUGGAUAUAUUGUGUAGAGGUGAAAUCUGAGCUUUUAAUGUACAACUACCCAAAUAAGAUACAUUGAACCCGAUAGGCAGCAUUUCACUUUCACCCUCAUUCUAUCCUCCCACCGUUUGGAGCCUCCAAUGUCUAUCAUUCAACUCAGUAAGUCCAUGUCCAUGGUUUAGCGCCCACGUAUAAGUGGGAAUGUGCAGUUCUUGAUUUUCUGUUUCUGAGUCAUUUCACUAAGGAUAAUGCCCUCCAGCUCCAUACACAUUGCUGCAAAAGUCAUAAUUUCAUUCACUUUUAUGGCUGAAUAGUAUUCCAUGGUAUAUAUCUACCAGAUUGUUUUAUUCAAUGAUGUGUUGAUGGACACUUAGGUUGAUUUCACAACUUUGCUAUUCUGAAUUGUGAUACAAUAAAUAUACAAAUGCAGAAGGCUUUUUU